GUUUUGGAUUUCUUCAUGGUUCAAUUUAGAUGCUGCUGCCUCUGGGAGCCCUGUGCCUCAGCCAUGGUCAACCCCACCAUGUUCUUUGACAUCACCAUCAAAAAUGGUGUCUCCCUCUGUCACCCAGGCUGGAUGGAGCUCAGUGGUGUGAUCUCGGCUCCGUGCAACCACUACCUCCCGAGUUCCAGCGAUUCUCCUGCCUCAGCCUCCAGAGUAGCUGAGAUUACAGGUGCCAUGCCCAACUAUGGGGAUUCACCAUGUUGGCCAGGCUGGUCUUGAACUCCUGACCUCAAAUGAUCUGCCCACCUCAGCCUCCCAAAACCCUGGAAUUAUAGGCAUGAGUCACCGCUCCAAGCUGGGGAGCAAUCAGGGAUCAUUCUUCAGCGUCCUGAAGAGUGUUUUCUUUGUUGCUGCUUCGCAGG
rnacentral:lncRNA from 1 species